rnacentral:SRP_RNA from 15 species
UUCAAUUGCAUUGUACAUCUCAAAGCAGUUUAAAGCAGUGAAAUUAGAAUUUAAUUCUGUCGGUUGAGCAGUUCAUUAUGUCGGCAAAGCAGUUCAGGUUAGAAAACCUUUCGAAUUUGUAACUCGUUUUUGAGUAUUAAACCCCGGACUUUCGACUGGAAGGUUGGCAUCUUCUGUAAUCACGCUUCUGUGAGGUCAGAUUGUGGGAUGGCCUGAGGCUGGGAAUCACUGUGUAACGGACCAGCUCAUGUUGACGGAACGUCCGCACUAAGCUUGCCAUCAAUAUGGGUGCCAUGGAGGAGUCCGCGGCAUUCAGGUUGGCUAAUGAGGGAUGAACCGGAGAUCGGUAGAGC